rnacentral:lncRNA from 1 species
CCUUGACCUAAUUUUUAUUUUUUUGGACCAAGGACCUCAAAUCAAAAGAUCCUUGGUCUUUAGCACUUAUGGUUUACAAGAUAGAAAUGCAUAUCACUUAUAUCAAAUGCAUAAGGGGAAAUAACUCUCAUAUGGAGCGUUCAUAUCACUUCGGUCAAAAUAGGACAAAUCAUGCGAAGGAUAUAACGAGCAAUUUUGUAAAAUAAAUUUGUCAUAAUAUUUUACGGUUGCGAAGGAGAUGCGCUAACAAGGAAAACAGUGUUUGGGGAGAUAACUCCUACAAAGAAAAGUAUUCGUUUACGCAGGGUAAAUUUCAAAAGCGCAUAAACUGUUCGAUAUCAUAUACCAAAUAUCUAAGCGACAUAUUGCGAAACAAAUGUUUAUCGCAAGAACAAAAUUAGGUGGAAGAAAAAAAAAAAAAAAUUAAAAACCAAUUGUUCAGAGAACAAUUGAAGGUCUUUCCAUCAAAACAAUGUAUUUUGAUAUGAAAAGUUGUGAAACUAAGUUUAAAAUGUCAUUUCAAUCGUCAAAUGAUAGCUUCUAGUAAGCUGAUUCCAAAAAUAUAUUGUUUCCAUACAUUUUUUUUAAAUAAGGGAGAUAAUUUGUUACUUCCGGUUUGAAAAAUGUUACUUCCGAUUAUAUUUGAAUAUUUACUUGACACUGAUUCCAAAAAUAUCUGGUUCUAUAUACUUUUAUAUUAAUAAAGUACAAAAAAUAGCUACUUCCGGUUUACAAAAAGUCACUUCCGGUUGUUUUUUCAAGGUUAAAUGGUUUGAUACCUUUUUCUAAAAGAUGUAUAUCUUUAUCAUGUAUACAUAUAGAAUAAAAGCAAAGGUCAAAAUCUAGAACGUCAAAUUAAGCUAUGACCUUGAGAUCAAUUUCAAGGUCAUAAACCAAGGACCUCAAAUCAAAAGACCAUAGGUCUUAAUUAUAUUUAGUUAAUGAGUUAUAUCACCAAACGCGUAUUUUUAAAUACAAGAGGGGAGAAAACUCCCUUUUACAUUCAACGUACGCUUGCAAUCAAAAUUUACAUCUUACGACAUGUCGCAACUAACAAUUUAGUAAAAAUAAUUUGUUGAUAUCUUAUACAGUCUUUGGAUAUAAGUGAAAAUAAGCCACAUUCAAAUAUUAGAAUAUGACCUUGACCUUUGACCUUGACCUAAUUUUCAUUUUUUGGGACCAAGGACCUCAAAUCAAAAGAUCCUAGGUCUCUAUCACUUAUGGUUAUAAGAUAGAAAUUCAUAUCACUUAUAUCAGAUGCGUAAGGGGAAAUAACUCUCAUAUGGAGCGGUCAUAUCGCUUCAGUCAAAAUAGGACAAAUCAUGCGAAGGAUAUAACGAGCAAUUUUGUAAAAUAAAUUUGUCAUAAUCUUUAACGGUUGCGAAGGAGAUGCGAUAACAAGGAAAACAGUGUUUGGGGAGAUAACUCCUACAAAGAAAAGUAUUCAUUUACGCAGGGUAAAUUUCAAAAGCGCAUAAACUGUUCGAUAUCAUAUACAAAAUAUCUAAGCGACAUAUUGCGAAACAAAUGUUUAUCGCAAGAACAAAAUUAGGCGGAAGAAAAAAAAAAAAAUAAUCAGAAGAAAAACAAUAGGUCUUUCCACAGAAAAGUGGAAAGACCUAAUAAUCAGAAGAAAAACAAUAGGUCUUUCCACAGAAAAGUGGAAAGACCUAAUAAUCAGAAGAAAAACAAUAGGUCUUUCCACAGAAAAGUGGAAAGACCUAAUAAA